UGACUGAGUGAAAUCUUGUGGAGAACAAGAAGUCACCUGAGAGCCAGACAAAAGCAGUUUUGAGGCUUUAGCAAGGCUUUUAAUCACCCACUUCUCAUGCCAGUCCACUCUUUCUUUUCUGGGGGGAGGAAGGAAUACGACUUCCCAUGGUAUUGAAUCCAGUGCAAAUGCAAAUGCACACCUGCAAAAGGCCACUACGGAAUUAUGUAAAUUGAUUGGCCUCUUUGAGGCCACUUUCAAUUGUGAUCUUGUUUGGGAAACAUCUAGUAAUUGACAUAAGUUUGAAAUAAUGUUUGCUUUGCUUCUAUCUUCCAUUUCUUAAUCUUUAAGUAGCAUUUAAUGUUCAUCACUGUCUAAAACCGGACAUUGUGUGGAACACAUACCUGUGCAAUUACUUGGCUCCCCUGAACUGGAUUCAGUGGACAGUU